rnacentral:rRNA from 1 species
AGAGUUUGAUCCUGGCUCAGGACGAACGCUGGCGGCGUGCCUAAUACAUGCAAGUCGAGCGGAGUUUUGAAAAGCUUGCUUUUCAAAACUUAGCGGCGGACGGGUGAGUAACACGUGGGCAACCUGCCCUUGAGACGGGGAUAACUCCGGGAAACCGGAGCUAAUACCGGAUAACACAUAUCUUCGCAUGAGGAUAUGUUAGAAGGUGGCUUUUAGCUACCACUCAAGGAUGGGCCCGCGGCGCAUUAGCUAGUUGGUGAGGUAACGGCUCACCAAGGCGACGAUGCGUAGCCGACCUGAGAGGGUGAUCGGCCACACUGGGACUGAGACACGGCCCAGACUCCUACGGGAGGCAGCAGUAGGGAAUCUUCCGCAAUGGACGAAAGUCUGACGGAGCAACGCCGCGUGAGUGAUGAAGGUUUUCGGAUCGUAAAGCUCUGUUGUUAGGGAAGAACAAGUACCUGUUAAAUAAGCAGGUACCUUGACGGUACCUAACCAGAAAGCCACGGCUAACUACGUGCCAGCAGCCGCGGUAAUACGUAGGUGGCAAGCGUUGUCCGGAAUUAUUGGGCGUAAAGCGCGCGCAGGCGGUUCCUUAAGUCUGAUGUGAAAGCCCACGGCUCAACCGUGGAGGGUCAUUGGAAACUGGGGAACUUGAGUGCAGAAGAGGAGAGCGGAAUUCCACGUGUAGCGGUGAAAUGCGUAGAGAUGUGGAGGAACACCAGUGGCGAAGGCGGCUCUCUGGUCUGUAACUGACGCUGAGGCGCGAAAGCGUGGGGAGCGAACAGGAUUAGAUACCCCAGUAGUCC